GGAAGGGUGGCCGAGUGGUUAAUGGCAGCAGACUGUAAAUCUGCCCUCUCCGGAGUACGUAGGUUCGAAUCCUACCCCUUCCACCA
rnacentral:tRNA from 2 species